UACGUAGGGUGCGAGCGUUUAAUCGGAAUUACUGGGCGUAAAGCGUGCGCAGGCGGUCCGCUAAGACCGAUGUGAAAUCCCCGGGCUUAACCUGGGAACUGCAUUGGUGACUGGCGGGCUGGAGUAUGGCAGAGGGGGGUAGAAUUCCACGUGUAGCAGUGAAAUGCGUAGAGAUGUGGAGGAAUACCGAUGGCGAAGGCAGCCCCCUGGGCCAAUACUGACGCUCAUGCACGAAAGCGUGGGGAGCAAACAGG
rnacentral:rRNA from 1 species